GUCACUGAACACGCAGCUAGAGGUCGGUGCAGGGGUUAGGGACACGUGUCUGUCCCCGGGCAAGUGCAGGAGACAGGGACGGGCCCUCCUCCCCUGUGAGAACCUGAGGACAGUCCAUUCUCAAUGAGGAGCCUGCUCUGGAGAGGUAGCAGGAAGCAGAGGCCCCUGGAGGAGCCCGGUUCAAACCCAGGCUGCAGCCUUUACAAGCUACGUGACCUUGGGUGCUACGAGGGCCCUGGGGAUAAAGAGAUGGAAAAGAUACAGCUGUGUACCCCCCCCUGCAGCAGGCAGACAGAGACCACCGCCUAUCACGUAAGAGGAAAUGACAGGAGGGCUCCAGGAAUGGAAUCAGAGAAGCGGGCUCCCAGCCCAGCCAGGGCCUGAUGACAACCCAGCGUUCCAGAGCCCCAUCCUCUGAUCCAGGCUCAUCUUCCAGAGCACCGGCCGACACAUCUGGCCCGCAUCUGAGCAGUGUCCAAAACUCCCCUCUGGGGCCAAGACAGCCAGUCAGGAUGCUGGUGAAGAGCAUGCUGGGAAACUCCCACAAGGAGCCCACAUCGAUAUAAUCAGGUCUGGUGGAAAUUAAAAGCUAUUAGGAACAGGGCCGGAUUUAUCUUUAUAUCCAAUAACAUGCAUUGUAAUGGUGAUCAUGCAGAUGGGAAAUUAAACCACAUCUCGGCUUCA